GGGGGUGUAGCUCAGUGGUAGAGAACUUGCCCAGCAUGUGUGAGCUUCUGGGUUCCAGCCCCAGCACCACCA
rnacentral:tRNA from 2 species